rnacentral:rRNA from 1 species
UACGAAGGGGGCUAGCGUUGCUCGGAAUCACUGGGCGUAAAGGGUGCGUAGGCGGGUUUUUAAGUCGGGGGUGAAAUCCUGGAGCUCAACUCCAGAACUGCCUUCGAUACUGGAAGACUUGAGUCCGGGAGAGGUGAGUGGAACUGCGAGUGUAGAGGUGAAAUUCGUAGAUAUUCGCAAGAACACCAGUGGCGAGGGCGGCUCACUGGCCCGGUACUGACGCUGAGGUGCGAAAGCGUGGGGAGCAAACAGG